rnacentral:rRNA from 1 species
GACGAACGCUGGCGGCGUGCUUAACACAUGCAAGUCGAACGAUGAAGCCCAGCUUGCUGGGUGGAUUAGUGGCGAACGGGUGAGUAAUACGUGAGUAACCUGCCUUUAACUCUGGGAUAAGCCUUGGAAACGGGGUCUAAUACCGGAUACGACCAACCCUCGCAUGGGGUGUUGGUGGAAAGGGAUUUUGUACUGGUUUUAGAUGGGCUCACGGCCUAUCAGCUUGUUGGUGAGGUAACGGCUCACCAAGGCGACGACGGGUAGCCGGCCUGAGAGGGUGACCGGCCACACGGGGAAGGAAACACGGCCCAACCUCCUAGGGGGGGAAGCAGGGGGAAAUAUUGCACAAGGGGCGAAGGCCGGAUGCGGGGACGCCGGGGGGGGGAUGACGACCUUCGGGUUGAAAACCUUUUUCAGCGGGGGAGAAGGGAAAGUGACGGUACCUGAAGAAGAAGCGCCGGCAAACUACGG